AAGAAAAGCCAUCUGGAGUCAAAUAUAAAACCAAAUAGGAUGUCAACACUUUCUCUAUUUUUUGAUAGCCCAUCUGGGCUUUAUCUAUCCAGGAAAAAAGAAAAACUCAUCUGGAUCAUCAGCAAUGAGUUCGAGGUUGAAUAUUUCAGAAGAAUUUGAGACCGAGGAGUGUCAUGUGUUCUUGAACUUCCGAGGGAAAGAUACCCGUAGGGGGUUCAUAAACACGCUGUCUGCUUUCUUUCAAUUUAAGGAGCGUAACAUCAGGGUUUUCCUUGAUGAGAAGAAGAUCAAAGUGGGGAAUGAGAUCGCCGAGAGGAUUAAGCGAGCCAUUACUGACUCGCAGAUUUACAUUUGCGUCUUCUCUCGCAACUAUGCUUCCAGUCCGUGGUGCCUCCGGGAAUUAGCUUUCAUGUUGGAGUCGAGGAGAAAAUCGAACGGCAAAGAGAUCUUGCCCAUUUUCUACAACGUUAAGGUGGAAGAUGUGAAGCUCAAGACUGAUUUGUACCGGGACCACCUGAGCGAGCUCAAGAAGGAGUAUGGAGAGGAGACGGUGCAGAAAUGGGAGAAAGCUCUAAAGGAGAUCGCUGCGAUUAAGGGAUGGGACUCGGCUGAUUACGGCGGCGAUGCAGACCUUAGCGAAGUAGUGGUUGGCGAGGUUAGGAGCAGAUUGAAGAUACAACAAAUGAGAGGUCAUUUAGUCGGGUUGAAAGAGGCCAUAGACAAUGUAAUUGCCAAGUUAGAUAUCGAAUCAGGUGGGGUAAAGUUUCUUGCAAUCCAUGGAGUUAGUGGAGUUGGUAAGACAUCUCUUGCCAAGUCUGUUUUCCAUCAACUCUCUGUCCGCUUUCAAGGCUGCAGCUUCCUUGCAGAUAUUCAAGAAUCAUUCGAGCACGGUAAUGGUUUUGAAGCCUUGAAGGAGCAAUUACUUCGAGAUAUUCCCGACAGUGACGGGGAGUCCACCUCUAUCGAAAAAAGGUUUCGUGACAAAAAGGUUCUCAUUGUCCUGGAUAAUGUGAACAAGAGAGAACAAGUCAUGGAAUUCGCUAAGAAGUCUCUCCGGUUUGGUCCCGGCAGCAGGAUAAUUAUCACGACGGCGAAGGAUCAUCCUAUCUUACUGAUCCAACCAGCUGCUGGAAAAAAAUCAACAGAGGGCGCUGCAAAGAAGUUCAAAGAGUUUGACACCUUGGAGAUGAAGGAAAUGGAGUUUGACCAAGCACUCCGACUUUUCAGCAAAUAUGCCUUUUGUAAAGACUCACCUCCAGAUGACCACCGGAGCUUGUCUGAACAAGCUGUCGAAAGCGUUGGACCACUGAUUCCUCUAACAAUUGAGAUAAUCGGUUCUUUUCUUCGUGGCAAAAACGAAGAAGUUUGGAACAGAACUUUUUUAGAGUUGAAAGAGAUACAUUCACAUGCAAUUAACCUAAAAUUGAAGGUCAUUUAUGAUGCACUCAGCUAUCAGGCAAAGCAAAUUUUCCUAGAUAUUGCAUGUUUGUUUGUAAACAAGGAGAAAACAAAUGCAAUGUACACGUGGGAAGCUUGUCAUAACAACAGGGAGGGCAUUGAUGUUCUCACUGGGAUGUCAAUGGUAAAAAUUCUCGAUGAUGGUAAACUGUGGAUGCAUGACUAUCUCAGAGACCUCGGAAGGGGCAUUGUUGAUGCAGACCGCUGGAAGAAUCCUGGAGUGCUGACUAGAUUGUGGAGACAUAACGAAGCACUGGAAGUGCUACAGAGAUAUGAGGGAAAACAAAAUGUUGAAGCACUUUGCUUAUGCUAUGAUCCUUCUUUACGUGGUCUUACUCUUACACAUAAAGAAUUUACGAAUCUCAAAGUGCUAAGGUUCCUCAAACUUUAUUCGGUGAAACUUUCGGGGGACUUGGAGCACCUCCUUCCACGGUUAAGGUGGCUUUCUUGGCAUGAGUGCCCUCAUGAAUUUGAAGCAACCAAUCUUCUCUUGAGAAAGUUGGUCAUUCUUGAUCUUUCUGAGAGUUUAAUAAUGGAUAAGUGGGGAGGAUGGAGCUGUCUCCAGGGUGCAAUUAUCUUGAAAGUUUUGGAUCUAACAGGAUGCAGACAUUUAGAAAGAACACCGAACCUCUCGAAAUUCAAGUAUUUGGAAAGAAUGAUUCUUGCAGGUUGCACAAGGUUGGUUGAAAUUGACUCUUCUAUUGUGGAGAUGAAGCGACUUAAGUACUUGAAUCUCAGAGGAUGCGAUUCCCUUAUGGAACUGCCUGAGCAAAUAGGUUCACUUGAAGCUCUGUCGGAGAUCAUAUUCAUGCAAGGGGAAUGCAAACCGUUCAACUUGCCAGAAUCAAUUGGAUCUUCGAAAUCUAUGUCAAUCCUUGAAGUUGGAAAUGUGGGAAUUUCCCAACUUCCACUAUCCAAAGGAGGACUAGGAAGACUUGAGCGGUUAUCUUUAUUCAGGUGCUCAAUGAUCAAGCAACUCCCUGAUUCACUUGGUGGCUUAAGUCAGUUGAUUGAGUUGGACGUAUCGGAGACGGGAAUCAUUGCCUUUCCUGCUUCCAUUGGAGAUCUAAAAGAACUGAAGGUGAUAAAAAUGAGCCGUUGUCCUAUAACGGAAUUACCAAGGGCUAUUGGGAUGGCACAGAAUCUCAAAGAGUUGCAUGCCGAUCAUUGUACAGAAUUGAGAGGGGAAGUUCCAGCGGAAAUUGGGAAUCUGUCACAUUUGAAAAUUCUGGACUUAUCGUACACCGGUAUCACUACCUUGCCAGAAACAAUAAGCCAGCUGUCUGAACUCGAAAUACUGCAUCUAGAAUCAUGUCACAAUCUGGAAAGACUGCCAAAGCUUCCCCAAGGGCUGACUAGGUUGCAUUUUGAGCUUUGGUCACUUUUGGAAGACCCCAUUCUUUGUGAACUGGGAAAUCUUGUCGAUUUGGUGAUGUCUGAUAUCGGACCUGAUCUACCAAGUCAAGGACACAUUUCCAACUUGGAGUGGAUGCAAACACUAUCCAAGUUAGAGAAUCUGGAUCUGAGCGUAUCAGAUUCGAGCACUUUCUGCUUACCUCAGCUCAAGUCCCUCAAUUUAUCUUGCAGGGACCUAUCCAAAGCUUGCUCGGAACUUCCGUGCACUUUAUCAAGGUUGGUUCUUGCACAUCUUGAGGUACAUUCAAGAUUGCCACACUUUGAAAACUUGGAGAACCUUUCGUUUUUAAGUUUUUACAGAUGCUCCAUAAAGGAGAAAGAUGGGCUGGAACUUGGACAAUUGAAGUCCCUGUUCCAUUUCUCUGCAAUUGAAUGCCUCUUUCGAAUGGGUAAAGGGCUUUGCCUGCCAAAAGAUUUGAGAGUUCUGAGCAUGAGUGAGUGCGAGUUCUGUGCCGAUACAUUUCUUGAUCUAGCCGGCUUGAAGCAUCUUAAGCAGUUGAAGCUUUCAAAGUGCAAAGGACUGAUUGAAGUUCGAGGUGUUGGACAACUGGAAUCAUUGCAGGAACUCAUAGUUCGCCAUUGUGAGUGCUUGGCAAGGCUAGAUGAUCUGUCAAAUCUGAGGAAGCUAGAAAUUGUCAAGAUAUAUGACUGCGAGAUGCUGACAUAUGUUGGGGAUCUUGAGAGAAUAUCAGAAUUGGACUUAAAGGAGAAGUUUAUAUUUUUGAACUGCAGACCAGUGAAAGGUUCAUGCGAUGAACAAAGCUCAUGAGAUCCGCGGCUUGGGAAACAGGUUAAAAAUAUGAGGAUUUGACUCGAGGAGUUGAGAAGAUCCUAACCGUGGACGACUUCUUAAGACACACAAAUUCAUCCCUGCUUCUUCAGUAGUUGCUGUCAAUCUUGUUGGUCCCUGGUCCAUAAAUAUAUAAAAGCUGAAGAACAGGAAUGCCAGGCGUGCUAAUACAGGUCUGCGGAGUGGCAAUUGAAGUUGUUCGGGAUGAAUCAUUGCUCGAUUUAAAUAAGAAGUCCAACAUCAGCUUCUUCUAGCUCAUUCAUCAGGAAGUGCGUGUAGAUCCAUCAAACGUCAGAGAAUCAGCCAGAAGGCUAGACUUAACUAAAACACGUCGUUUCGUCAUUUGUUCUUCGAAGCUUACUCAGAAAUAGUAACCCCACAGUUGUCCAUUUUGUUCCUCCUGUGUCCCAGUGACCAUGAGCGAUGCUCUCGUCUUGAUUCUGUAAACUUUUACUCCUGAUAUAAGCACUUUAUUUUCAGCUUCUAUCA